CACAAGUCACGGUAAUGUCAAAAUAACGUUAAAAUGAAUCGUAAAUAUUUUGGAGUAAUUAAAGGUUCACAAUACCUCAUGGGCUGACUGAAGGACGCAGCAGUAUUUGAAGUACCAGCCCUCGAGAAUGCGACGGGACAACAAUAUAUCUUCGGUUAUUUGAUACAACAUAAUACCGAUCCUAAAAGUUCCAGGUACGCACAUCAGCCAAGCACGUUUCUUCGAGUUCCACCCUGCGGACGCAAAGU